GGGGGCUUGGGGCCGACCGCUGGCGGCUGCCUCUCAGCCCUGUGCCUGCCGGCCUGCCCCGUGCCCCAGAUCAACCCCCUGCGGGCUCCCCGCCGGGGUUCCUCCCGUGCAGUAACAGGUGUGAGCAUCCAUGCAGCAUUUUGGUGGUCAUGUAUGAUACUGCACACAGUG
rnacentral:snoRNA from 1 species